GACGAACGCUGGCGGCGUGCUUAACACAUGCAAGUCGAACGGAAAGGCCUCUUUCGGGGGGUACUCGAGUGGCGAACGGGUGAGUAACACGUGAGUAACCUGCCCUUGACUUUGGGAUAACUUCAGGAAACUGGGGCUAAUACCGGAUAGGAGCUCCUGCUGCAUGGUGGGGGUUGGAAAGUUUCGGCGGUUGGGGAUGGACUCGCGGCUUAUCAGCUUGUUGGUGGGGUAGUGGCUUACCAAGGCUUUGACGGGUAGCCGGCCUGAGAGGGUGACCGGCAACAUGGGGAGUGAGAUACGGCCCGGCCUCCGCGGGGGGGAGGAGGGGGGAAAUAUUGCACAAGGGGUGGAGGCUUGAUGCAGCACCGCCGUGUGGGGGAUGACGGCUUUGGGGUUGAAAACCGCUUUCGCUCAUGACGAGGCUUUGUGGGAGGGUAGGGGGUAAAGAAGCCCCGGCUAACUCCGUC
rnacentral:rRNA from 1 species